GCUCACCAUGCAAGGGAGAGAAAGGGCACACUCCAGCUCACUAUGAGUGGGAGAAAGAUAGAGCACACACUACCUCACUGUGUAAGGCACAUACAUAUUAGGCAGGACACACAUAUUCGCUUUCUGUGCCAGGGAGAAAGGGGCAUACAAAUAGCAGCUCACUAUGCCAGGUGGAGACAGGGUUCACACCAGCUCACUAUCUUAUGUAUAGACAGG